rnacentral:rRNA from 1 species
UGGGCCUACGGGGGGCAGCAGUGGGGAAUAUUGCACAAUGGGGGAAACCCUGAUGCAGCGACGCCGCGUGAAGGAAGAAGUAUUUCGGUAUGUAAACUUCUAUCAGCAGGGAAGAAAAUGACGGUACCUGACUAAGAAGCCCCGGCUAACUACGUGCCAGCAGCCGCGGUAAUACGUAGGGGGCAAGCGUUAUCCGGAUUUACUGGGUGUAAAGGGGGCGUAGGCGGCGAUGCAAGUCAGAAGUGAAAGCCCGGGGCUCAACUCCGGGACUGCUUUUGAAACUGUAAGGCUAGAUUGCAGGAGAG